GAUGAAGAACGUAGUGAAAUGCGAUAAGUAAUGUGAAUUGCAGAAUUCAGUGAACCAUCGAAUCUUUGAACGCACAUUGCGCCCGGCAGUAAUCUGCCGGGCAUGCCUGUCCGAGCGUCAUUUCUGCCCUCGAGCGAGUCCAGCAUCUAGGUGCUGGGCCCGCCCGGCGUUGGGGCACUACGGGAAGCCCUGUGCUGUCCCCCGUAGGCCCCGAAAUGAAGUGGCGGUCCUGCCGCGGCGCCCCCUGCGUAGUAUAACAGCUCGCUUCGGGACCCGGUGGAGGCCUGCCGUCAAACCUUACUCUCUAAGUUUGACCUCGGAUCAGGUAGGGUUACCCGCUGAACUUAAGCAUAUCAAUAAGGGAGGA
rnacentral:misc_RNA from 1 species